GAUGAAGAACGCAGCGAAAUGCGAUAAGUAAUGUGAAUUGCAGAAUUCAGUGAAUCAUCGAAUCUUUGAACGCACAUUGCGCCCGCCAGUAUUCUGGCGGGCAUGCCUGUUCGAGCGUCAUUACAACCCUCAGGCCCCCGGGCCUGGCGUUGGGGAUCGGCGGAGCCCCCCGUGGGCACACGCCGUCCCCCAAAUGCAGUGGCGGUCCCGCCGCAGCUUCCAUCGCGUAGUAGCUAACACCUCGCGACUGGAGAGCGACGCGGCCACGCCGUAAAACACCCAACUCUUCUGAAGUUGACCUCGAAUCAGGUAGGAAUACCCGCUGAACUUAAGCAUAUCAAUAAGCGGAGGA
rnacentral:misc_RNA from 1 species